GGCAACAGGGGCUCCUGGGGACUAUAUCUGGAACUGGAGAUGACUAACUUAAGCAAUCAGUGAGGAGGAGGUACUUCUGAUCCAGCACCCAGAUGAACUUUGGUGCGGAGGCCAAGGAGCCCUACAUCCUCACUUACAAUUACAGCACUUCCUUUGGAAAUGUGUCACCCUCUACAAAGCAGAGGACUUCAGUUUGCCCACCUGAAAAGCUAAUGUCACCCUGAAGGUUAUGAUUAUGUAUUUAGUCUGAAAGAAGAAACAGAAGAGCCUCUUAUAUAACUUGAAGAGAAUAAAGGAGCCAGUGACUAAAACCACUGCCUUGAACUUUUCCAAAGCACCAUAAAUCUCUCUGUGUUAUGAUUCUCCAGUUGCUGCCAAGGACAAAUACAGGGCUUCUCUUGACUUCUUUGCAUUUUUUCCAUUGUCUUUGAUUUUGGAAAUGCCACCAGAAUGAAGGCUGCAUUUUUUGGUGGUGGAAAUUAUUGAUAUGUCUCAGAAGCAAGAAAUCAUGAAAUAUCUAUUUUCCAGCAAUGAUGUAUGACUCUCACAAAGGCCACACCAUUAUUUAGAAUACUCCAACAAAUGUUUUUCAUGGAAACAGAGCAGAGAUGUCUAACAUUUCCUGGAAUUGGUGGAGGAGAAGGAGGAGGAGGAGAAGAAAUUCAACCAAAUAUCCACUUGUUAGCCCAACAUUGAAAGGGACCAGCCUUAAAGAAUAAUUGGAGAAUCAACCAAUAAUACUACUAUUCUUCAACUCUUUCAGAAUUUCUUGGAGCUCACAAAAAGAUUAAUCGAAACAAUAAAUCUGCUUUGAAAAACAUAUUUAAGGAGAAAUGGAAUUUAGAAAAUGCCAUGUAGACAUCUAUCAUUCUAUAAACUAUGAUUAUUGUUAGUGACCUGAAACCUGGGAGUGGGUUCUAAUGGUUAAAAAAUGUCCACAGUUUUCCUCUUCAGGACUGCCUUGUCCCCACCUGAUCAUUACUGCACUGUCUUGGCUCCUUCAGGCCUAAUGUACAUGAGUUGCUUUUAUUUAUCUGGGUAAUUGGUUAAUUUUGGAUGCAGCUGUCUUGCAGGUAUUAUUUUGUUUUUUCUCCAGCAGACAACAAAGCCUGAAUUGCUACCCUCUUUAUAAUUCAUUUUACACACCUUCUCACCUGUCUCCAAACAACCCUCCCUCUGUUUCUGUUUAAGGAAGAUAGUUUAUUACAUAUGUAGGUUCCUUCAAAAUGAUUAACAUAUGCCAUGUGUGCUCAUACAUACUGCACACACACUGUACAGGUGUGCCACUGGAUAAGUUAUUUUUAUAUUCUUGGCUCAGUUAUUCCUAACAAAGUUUGUUCCAUUUAUAAAGCUGAAAAACAAGGUGGGGAUAAGGGAAAAAGGAUGAUGUGUUUUUGCUUAUGAGGUUUAAAUGUAGCCUGAUUAGUUGACCAUUGGGGAACUGUGCUCUCCGUGAACUGAAUUUUUCAGCUAUAUUGUUGGCUCUGGAGAUCCAGACGGAGGCUAACCCAAUUAUCCAAAUAACAAAAUGUCUAAAAAAAUCCCUAGCAAAUAGCAGUUGCAUUUGGGGAAGUAUUCUCAUUCAUAAAACUGGAAGGUCACAUUCAUUUCAAGAGUGCAUCAACUGGAAUGCUAUUUGAGCUUGUGGUUAGAACAUUCAUUCAUUUAUUCAACAUGUACUUUUUGAAACCCUUUCAUGUACCAGACAUUGUACUAGGUGCUGGAGAUUGUUAAUAAGCAGAGUCAAGCAUGAUUCUUGCUGGUUAACAUUUAACAACUGAUUUUUCAGAAAUAAAGCCUUUGAGUUUUAGUAUUUGCCAAUUUCUAUGGUGCAAAUACUCCUACCACAACCAGUUUCAAGCUAUCAGCGUUCUACAGUGUAAGAAGAUAUGGGCACAUUCAGCAAUUGUGAGCUAGUGUAGGCUGGCUCCUAAACAAUGCUGGUCUUUGCUGGCCAAGAGUUUACGGUCAAGUUGGGAAGAUAUAUAUUACAAAUAUUACCCUUAAUAAAAGUGGAACUUCAAACUGUGAUAGGACUGUAAAAAAGGGGAAUGUCAUUAUGAUAGAAUGUAAUAAAGUAAUA